rnacentral:tRNA from 1 species
CAAGAAGUAGUUUAAAUAGAAUAUCAGCUUUGGUGGUUUGAUUGGGA